GGUGAACGCUGGCGGUAGGCCUAACACAUGCAAGUCGAACGGCAGCACAGAGGAGCUUGCUCCUUGGGUGGCGAGUGGCGGACGGGUGAGGAAUACAUCGGAAUCUACCCUGUCGUGGGGGAUAACGUAGGGAAACUUACGCUAAUACCGCAUACGACCUACGGGUGAAAGCAGGGGACCUUCGGGCCUUGCGCGAUUGAAUGAGCCGAUGUCGGAUUAGCUAGUUGGCGGGGUAAAGGCCCACCAAGGCGACGAUCCGUAGCUGGUCUGAGAGGAUGAUAGGCCACACUGGAACUGAGACACGGUCCAGACUCCUACGGGAGGCAGCAGUGGGGAAUAUUGGACAAUGGGCGCAAGCCUGAUCCAGCCAUACCGCGUGGGUGAAGAAGGCCUUCGGGUUGUAAAGCCCUUUUGUUGGGAAAGAAAUCCGGCUGGCUAAUACCCGGUUGGGAUGACGGUACCCAAAGAAUAAGCACCGGCUAACUUCGUGCCAGCCGCCGCAGUAA
rnacentral:rRNA from 1 species